rnacentral:rRNA from 1 species
AUGAACGCUGGCGGCGUGCUUAACACAUGCAAGUCGAACGAUGAAGCCCAGCUUGCUGGGUGGAUUAGUGGCGAACGGGUGAGUAACACGUGAGUAACCUGCCCUUAACUCUGGGAUAAGCCUGGGAAACUGGGUCUAAUACCGGAUAGGAGCGUCCACCGCAUGGUGGGUGUUGGAAAGAUUUAUCGGUUUUGGAUGGACUCGCGGCCUAUCAGCUUGUUGGUGAGGUAAUGGCUCACCAAGGCGACGACGGGUAGCCGGCCUGAGAGGGUGACCGGCCACACUGGGACUGAGACACGGCCCAGACUCCUACGGGAGGCAGCAGUGGGGAAUAUCGCACAAUGGGCGCAAGCCUGAUGCAGCGACGCCGCGUGAGGGAUGACGGCCUUCGGGUUGUAAACCUCUUUCAGUAGGGAAGAAGCGAAAGUGACGGUACCUGCAGAAGAAGCACCGGCUAACUACGUG